rnacentral:lncRNA from 1 species
CAAAGACCAACGAAACCCUAAACAUAAUAGGCCCCCCCGCCGACCCUCCCAGUGAGAAGGGGGAACACCCUCCCUAGCGGCGACCUCCCUCAACCCCGGCGCCACCUAACCCCACAAACCAGACAAAGAAAUCGGAUUGAAAGAGGCGAAGGAAGGAGAUUCGGUCGUUACCUGAGCUACUGAUUCACCACAAAGGUGAGCUUUCUUUCAAAGUUUCACGCGAUUGGGAGAGAGACGAGUUGUGAGAGGGAUUUGGUGUGAGAUUUGUAGAGGGAAGCGAGAGAGAAAAACGGAGAUUGUGAGUUUUGAUUUCGUGAAAGGGAGAUUGGGAGAGAGGAGGACGAUGAAGCAAUUCGUUGCUGUUGCUUUUAUUUUUUUUGUUUUAUUUUAUUUAGUUCAAGCCAAACAAACCUUUAAGUUAUUAAAAAGAAAAACCAAUUUUUUUUUAAUAUGUUUAGU